UACAGAGGGGGCAAGCGUUGUUCGGAUUCAUUGGGCGUAAAGGGUGUGUAGGUGGCGCGCUAAGUCGGGUGUGAAAUUUCGGAGCUUAACUCCGAAACUGCAUUCGAUACUGGCGUGCUUGAGGACUGGAGAGGAGACUGGAAUUUACGGUGUAGCAGUGAAAUGCGUAGAUAUCGUAAGGAAGACCAGUGGCGAAGGCGGGCCUCUGGACAGUUCCUGACACUGAGACACGAAGGCCAGGGGAGCAAACGGG
rnacentral:rRNA from 1 species